CCUAAGGUAGGCUCAGGAAGAACAGAAACCUCCCAUGGAGCAGAAGGGCAAAAGCUUGCUUGAUCUUAAUUCUCAGUAUGAAUACAAACCAUGAAAGGGGGG